GUGCCAGCCGCCGCGGUAAUACGUAGAGUGCAAGCGUUGUCCGGAAUUAUUGGGAGUAAAGGGUACGCAGGCGGAUAAUCAAGUCAAGCGUGAAAGGUGUCGGCUUAACCGACAGACUGCGUUUGAAACUGAUUAUCUUGAGUGUAACAGAGGAGAGUGGAAUUCCUAGUGUAGUGGUGAAAUACGUAGAUAUUAGGAAGAACACCAGUGGCGAAGGCGACUCUCUGGGUUAACGCUGACGCUGAGGUACGAAAGCUGGGGGAGCGAACGGGAUUAGAAACCCUGGUAGUCC
rnacentral:rRNA from 1 species